UUAAAAUUAUAUGACCUCCAUUUUUUAUUUUAGGGUAAAGCUAUGAAUGACUAAGUUCUACAUAGGACUAUAUGGCAUCCAAGAAACAUGAAAGACUAACCCAAUAUGUUGUGACCAUUUUGAGCAUAUAGUACAUGCACGUUUCAGUGAAUUCCAGGCGGUCAUACAUCAAGGGAAAGGAAAUCAAAGUUUUGCAGUCUGGCUAAUGAGAGGCUCUCUGAAGGGCAUUCUGUGGAAUGUAUUUCUCUUGGCAGUUGCUCUAGUGGACACAAUUAAAUUCUAAGCAGAUUUCUUUAAUCCUUAGCUCUAACUGGGUCAGCAUCAUCUGAUUUGAAGUGUUAUUACAGGAGACGUGUGUACAGUAAGUAUUGAAAUAGCUGUAACAAUCUAGCCCGGAAAGCUGCCUUUUCUUUGAAAAUGCUCAAAAGACCCAAUUCACAUAAACUAAAAAGUCUCAGGACCACCAGUGCCCACCUGGAAGAAACUCCAGUUUACAAAUCUAAGAGGCUCUAUACUGGCUGGGCCUAAGGAAGCCGUAGUACCAUCUGUCAAGUAUCUGAACUAAGGAAGAGAGGAUCUUAAUUCUGUUUGCCUUUGAGAUCUCCAAAUUGAAAUCACAGGAAACAUGCUUUAUCCAUCUCUGUGUUUAUAAAUAAAUAUUCAUUGCCCAAAUGUGCACUAUAAGGGACAUUUAAAAUGCCCUCCCAUCUUUGCACUGAAUCUUUGAGUCAUGAAGCCAGCUCGCCCAGAGGAGCCCUCCAACCCCUCAGACACUGUCUCCCACAGGCUGCUCGGUAUACCAGCCACUGGGACUUCCCACAGGCAGUGGGCUUAUAAACUGCACACUAUUGCCCUUCUGCAUCCAUCAGAUCUGCCUAUUUGUGAUUUCUGCAAUAAAAAUAGCAGCAUC